AAAUUGAAGAGUUUGAUCAUGGCUCAGAUUGAACGCUGGCGGCAGGCCUAACACAUGCAAGUCGAACGGUAGCACAGAGAGCUUGCUCUUGGGUGACGAGUGGCGGACGGGUGAGUAAUGUCUGGGAAACUGCCUGAUGGAGGGGGAUAACUACUGGAAACGGUGGCUAAUACCGCAUAAUGUCGCAAGACCAAAGAGGGGGACCUUCGGGCCUCUUGCCAUCAGAUGUGCCCAGAUGGGAUUAGCUUGUUGGUGAGGUAACGGCUCACCAAGGCGACGAUCCCUAGCUGGUCUGAGAGGAUGACCAGCCACACUGGAACUGAGACACGGUCCAGACUCCUACGGGAGGCAGCAGUGGGGAAUAUUGCACAAUGGGCGCAAGCCUGAUGCAGCCAUGCCGCGUGUAUGAAGAAGGCCUUCGGGUUGUAAAGUACUUUCAGCGGGGAGGAAGGUGUUGCGGUUAAUAACCGCAGCAAUUGACGUUACCCGCAG
rnacentral:rRNA from 1 species